rnacentral:lncRNA from 1 species
GACUGAGGGGGGCACGCAUAUAGGUUAGGGUACUCUCCUGAUCCUUCGGGGUUGGGGGGGCGUACCGGACAGUCGGCAACUGUGCAUGGCCCUCCGGGGCCGGCCUUUUGCCCAGCAAUGGACCUGACGAUACUGAAAGCGUGUUUGGAGCUGGUAUCCUGGGACCUUCACGUGGUGGCCCUGUUUAAACUAAUCUUACCAGGAUGUGCUUCCAGAAGGGUUACAUCUAAAAACAAGGUACAAGCUACCACGGAGGAGAAGCUUACUGGAGAGAAGAGGGAAAGUAGCAAUGAACCAACGACUUCAGGGGAAUCCGAUCGUCCAAUCCAAGUUUAACCCCCCCCCUCCCCACUGGAGAUGAGAGGCUGUAGAGGAAUUUGUUGUGGUGACAAUGAAUCAUUCUAAUCAAAGUCAGUAUGGGCUCUGAGAAACACGCAGGAGACAAGAUCUGCCGCAGUCAUUGUUAGCAAGAACUACCAGUUUAAUAAGAU